rnacentral:lncRNA from 11 species
GGGGAAACCUGCAACAUUUUCCAUUAGAGCAGCAUGCAGAGCAUCUGAGUCUUUUCUUUAAAACACAGCCAGGCCAUUGUAUAAUUCUUGUCUCUGUCAGGUUUUAUCAGCUGCUUUGCAAAGUCCGAUGACAGAACUGUCAGGUUUCUUACUUGAAAAACUGUGUGAUGCCUGCAAAAAAAGGGGAAAGGGUGACCCUGAAGAAAAUAGCAGUGUCAUGGAUCGACGGAUCUAACAACGUAGUCUGGGCUCAGUGCCAAAGGCUGGUAUUUCACAGCAGCGACCGCCUUACAGAUGAGCUGUGGGAAGCAGGAGGGAGACUCUCUUAGGGUGCCACUACUAUGGAGACACAGCUGAGCUGAACAAGAUUUGCUUCAUACGACAACAAGAGAGGCAUAAAAAGUGUCUGGUUCAAGCGUUGCCCAAGCAGGCAGUCACCAGAAGAGCUAGCAGCCAAUCCGGCCAUGCUGCACUGUUCGAAACCAGCUCCACAUCUCAGCCAAUCAGUGACAUCAUUGCAGGAAGAAGUACUACCUUCCUGGAGUUGUCUGGUAAGUUCAGGGGGUGAGAGAGGAGAAAGAUGGAGUGACAAGAAAAUUGAGCCUUGGAGAAGAAAGGUGCACUGGAAAGGACUGUCUGGACUAGGUGGCAGCUAUGCAGGAACAGAGCAGAAUGGCCCUUUCACACAGCACCCACUAAUGCCAAUGAAUUGCCAGUUCCUUGCACCACCAGUGCCAAUUAAUGUUAUAACAAGUAGCAGAAUGCUUUCUAAAGGUACCUUUUGCCGAACUGUUCUGAUGCAGGCAAAAGUGAACAAAGGGCCAUGGACCACUGGGAAAACAGAAAAAGGAGACAUUAGUAGUUGGCAGAUUUCCUUUUUCUAUCUUCAAUCUGAUGCUUUCCUUGAGAAGGAUGUGAUUGUAAAUCAUUUUCAGAAGCCCGGAAAGCUGGUUUUAGUUACAAAAUAUGUGAAGCCCUGAUCUUAGUUUCAAAAUAUAUGAAUCAGCUCAGAAAAAUCUAUCAAUCACAUUAAUACAGCUAAAUGAGAAGAAUUGUGUUUCACAAAUUGAAUACGUUCAUUUAAAAAGUCAGGCUCAGACUUCCAGUACAAGUGCUCCAAUGUCUCUAAUGUUACUUCACAUCAAUAGUAUAGAAUGACUGUCUGUGUCAACAUUUAUGGAAUAUGGAUUGUCAUGUAAUAUUGUACAGUUUUGUGAAACAUUACGUGUCGCUGUGAAAGGAAAGAUAGAAAUUAUUUAAAUAAACAUUUAGAAGAAUGGUCUCAAAAUGCGAUGUUCUUAUGUGAAAAAGAUCAUUACCUCAUGAAGGUUCGGACUUCAGCUUGUUAACAAUAUUAUUACUUCAGGUCUAUACAGCGUUUUGGUCCAUUA